CAGUGCAUGUCAGAGCAAAAAAACAAGCCACGAGGUCGAAGGAAUUGUCUGUGGAGCGCCGAGGCAGAAUUUUCUCGAGGCACAGAUCUGGGGAAGGAUACCAAGACAUUUCUGCAUCAUUGAAGGUCCCCAAGAACACAGUGGCCUCCAUCAUUCUUAAAUGGAAGAAGUUUGGAACCACCAAGACUCUUCCUAGAGCUGGCUGCCCAGCCAAACUGGGCAAUUGGGGGAAGGGCCUUGGUCAGGAAGGUGAAUAAGAACCCGAUGGUCAUGCUGACAGCUCAAGAGUUCCUCUGUGGAGAUGGGAGAACCUUCCAGAAGGACAACUAUCUCUGCAGCACUCCACCAAUCAGGUCUUUACGGUAGAGUGGCCAAUCCUCAGUAAAAGGCACAUGGCAGCCUGCUUGGCAUUUGCCAACGGCACCGAAAGACUCUGACCACAAGAAACUAUAUUCUCUGGUCUGAUGAAACCAAGAUUGAUCUAUUUGGCCUGAAUGCCAAGCGUCACGCGUGGAGGAUACCUGGCACCAUCCUUACGGUGAAGUAUGGUUGUGGCAGCAUCAUGCUGUGGGAAUGUUUUUCAGUGGCACGGACUGAAUACUAGUCAGCAUUGAGGCAAAGAUGAAUGGAGCAAAGUACAGAGAGAUCCUUGUUGAUGACCUCAGACUGAGGCGAAAGUUCAAUCUUCCAACAGGACAUCAAACCUAAGCACACAGCCAAGACAACGCAGGAGUGGCCCAGCCAGAGCAUGGACUUGAACCUGAUCAAACAUCUCUGGAGAGACCUGAACAUUGCUGUGCAGCCAUGCUCCCCAUCCAACCUGACAGAGCUUGAGAGGAUCUGGAGAGAAGAAUGUGAGAAACUCCCCAAAUAUAGAUGUGCCAAGCUUAUAGCGUCAUACCCAAGAAGACUCGAUGCUGUAAUCACUGACAAAGGUACUUCAACAAGGUACUGAGUAAAGGGUCUGAAUAUUUAAGUAAAUGUGAUACUUCUGUUUAAAAAAAUAUAUAAAUGAGCAGAAAUGUCUUAACCAGCAUCUGUUUUUUUCAUAAUGGGGUAUUGUGUGUAGAUUGAUGAGGAAUAAAACAAUUGAAUACAUUUUAGAAGAAGACCUAACAAAAUGUGUAAAAAGUCCAGGGUUCUGAAUGCUUUCCGAAGGCCCUGUAUGUCUGCCCGACAGACAAGUAGAUCCUGGUUAAUAGAAUUCCAAGAGUGUGCAAAGCUGUCAUCAUGGCAAAGGGUGGCUACUUUGAAGAAUCUCAAAUAUAAAAUAUUUUUGGAUUUAUUUAACACUUCUUUUUGGUUACUACAUGAUUCCAUAUGUGUUAUUUCAUAGUUUUGAUGUUUUCACUAUUAUUCUACAAUGUAGGAAAUAGUCAAAUUAAAGAACUCUUGAAUGAGUAGGUGUGUCCAAACUUUUGACUGGUACUGUAAAUCUACUUGAAAAUCUAUGGCAAGACUUGAAAAUGGUUGUCACACCAUGAUUAACAACCAGUUUGACAGAGCUUGAAGAAUUUAGAAAAUAAUCAUUGACAAACGUUGCACAAUCCAGGUGCGGCAAGCUCUUGGAGACUUACCCAGAAAGACGUACAACUGUAAUCACUGCCAAAGGUGAUUCUAACAUGUAUUGACCUGGGUGUAAAUUCUUAUGUGGUAUUUCAUUUUCAAAAAUGUCUAAACAUGUUUUCACUUUGACAUUAUGGGUAGUGUGUAGAUGGGUGACAAAAGUCAUGCUGUAACGCAGCAAAAUGUGGAAUAAGUCGAGGGAAAUGAAAUCAAAUUGUAUGGGCCACAUACACAUAUUUAGCAGAUGUUAUUGCGGGUGUAGCGAAAUGCUUGUUUUCCUAGCUCCAGCCGUGCAGUAAUAUCUAACAACAACAAUACACACAGAUCUAAACGUAUCCGUACCAUAGCAGCUGCUCUGGAUAUGUCUCUUCCUUGCGACCUCUGCCCUCUAUGCCAGGUCUCCCUUGACAAAAGUUUGUUAUUGUUAACCUGGUAAAAUAAGCUAAAGGUUGUGUGCUCUCUCACUAGAUAGAAUUGUGUGUUUCAGUGGCAGAUUUUCCAAAGAAAAUACACAUAUCAGCAUUUCUCAAUCAGAUUAGAUACACAGCUCAUUUCAUUGAUAAAUGUAGGUGCUCGUUAUUGUAAAUAUUACAGUUCUCUAGGUCCUCCAUUCCCAAACCUAAAGCCCCCUGUCCCCAGCAGGAAAUACCAGGAAAAAGUGUUUUGCUUAAAGUACAACUUCCUAUUGAGAAAAUGCAAGAUAACUCAAGGUUAUAUUUAGAUUGAGAGUUACUGACAUGAAUAGAAGCAUAUACAUUUUAUUGAUUGCCUGUAUCUAUAAAUCCCGUUUUACAUUAGCAGUAUAUAGUGCUUAUACAUAUACCCAGCCUAAAACCCCAAAGACCAAGCAAUGCAUAUGUGGAAGCACAGUGGACAGCAAAAACUCCUUAGAAAGGCAGGGACCUAGGAAGACAUUUGUAACUUCUCAUGAUUCAGCCUAUUUGUCAAACCAAAUCUGAAUGUUUAUCAUUUUUAUUGUUCACUGUUGAUAGUAAUUGUUUCCAAGGGUAAUCACUCAAUGUCCUACUACAAGGAUGUGGUCAGGUUGACACACUUCCGAGUCACAAUAACACCAACACACACACACCACAGAUUGCCAGGGUAAGUACAAUGGGAAAAUGAAGUCUACUGCGUGCUUGCCCGAUAUGAACAAAAACACAAUUUAGGUUAGUGUGUAGACAAGGCUUUGUCAUUAAAAUAAUGGCUAUUUUUCAGAUCUGCCAAGCAGGCUAGACGGGUGACAGUUGUCUCCACUGAGCUGCUCCAGGCCUGGAGAGCCACAAUGGAACUUCCAGAGGCCUGUGGACCUGAAGCAGUGUGAUGUGGUCCGGGUAAUUAUCACACACUCAAUCACGCUUUCUGUUUUGUUGAAUAAUUAUUUCCACUUAAGAAAAUUGUGCCCCUCUCUUUUAGAUCUUACACCCCUAUUCGCUCAACUACAGCCCUCACAUCUGCAGUUGUCUGCCCUGCACCUGCUAUACAGAGUUAACAGGUAUCCCAGGCAUCCUUGUUUCUCAGUCAGAACACUGGAAUGUGAGAUGGGAUCUACACCUCCAUUAAAAUGAUAAAAAUCCUCAUUUCGUUUCAUGUUUUUCAAUUUGAGCUAAUACUUUCUCCUUCUCAACAUCUAACGCGAGGGGGACGGUGUGGCUUCGUGACGAUGAUCACAAGGGUCGUUGCUCACCUGUUUGACGGCUCCAACGCACUUACACCUCCGACUCCGACAAAACCUCAGCUAUGCCGGUGUCGGAUAUUACCUAUCUACCACCCACCCUGCCAGCAGUCCUCUGCUGUGGUAUUUCAUUUCCCGGCUACACCAGUUCCCACUACACUGGCCGUGACGGGAGACACUUUGAAGACUCCCAGAUGGAUACAGAUCUGCCUUGCACUCCACCACUGCCCCUAACAGCCUCACCCGGAAGUGCGUGCAGACUGACAAAGUAGAGAUGGGUGUCUGACAAGAGAAAAUAAAACACAACCUACACACACACACACUCUCUCUCUCUCUCUCUCUCUCUCUCUCUCUCUCUCUCUCUCUUUCUCUGUCAAUGUAAAUAAAAAUAUAACUACUUAUUAUUUUAUGUUUGCUCCAUUUUAUUUGAAGAUUUUGUGCAAUAAAGUAC